rnacentral:rRNA from 1 species
AUUGAACGCUGGCGGCAGGCUUAACACAUGCAAGUCGAGCGGAAACGAUGUAUCUUGCUGCAGGCGUCGAGCGGCGGACGGGUGAGUAACGCGUAGGAAUCUGCCUAGUAGUGGGGGACAACAUGUGGAAACGCAUGCUAAUACCGCAUACGCCCUACGGGGGAAAGGAGGGGAUCUUCGGACCUUUCGCUAUUAGAUGAGCCUGCGUAAGAUUAGCUAGUUGGUAGGGUAAAGGCCUACCAAGGCGACGAUCUUUAACUGGUCUGAGAGGAUGGCCAGUCACACUGGGACUGAGACACGGCCCAGACUCCUACGGAAGGCAGCAGUGGGGAAUAUUGGACAAUGGGCGCAAGCCUGAUCCAGCCAUGCCGCGUGUGUGAAGAAGGCCUUAGGGUUGUAAAGCACUUUAAGGGGUGAGGAAGGGUGUUUGGUUAAUAUCCAAACAUUUUGACGUUAGCCCCAGAAGAAGCACCGGCUAACUCUGUG